rnacentral:lncRNA from 1 species
AAUAGCACAUUAACACAAGGGAACAGAGUUUUCAAAUGUGGGCUUCAGGACCCACCUGAGACAGAAGUAUCUCCCGAUUAUGUUACCAACCAGGCAGAUGUACGACUCUAAUGAAGAAGUGAAAAACAACAGUGCAAACUACAGUAGACAUAAAGCAAAACUCUGCUUCCACCCAGAGCUAGAGUGCAGCUACCAGCGAAGGCCCACAGUGGAGCCUGAACCCAGUCUGAGGGCUAAACUCUGCUGACAAAGACCUCCACUCUGAGAACAGGCAUGAGAGUGACCUGUGUGGCUUAUCAGGCCAGCUCAACGUAAGGAAGGUCAGCAGAGGAAGAAAAGCAAAGAAUCACAGGGAACAUGGAACCAGCUGACAGUGGGCCAGGAGGAAAGGAAUUCAUGUUGGAGUGUAGUUGGGCUCAGGCCUCGGGGAAUGCCAGGUACCCUAGGGCAAUUAGCAAGGCCUUCAUCUUACCUGGUCACAUCUGGGGCAGAUGCUGGGAGCACAUGUUUCAUAAUGGUCUGGAUCCAGUUCCGUCGUAUGCCAGAUGUCAUGGCUGAGAGGGUGAACUCACCCUCCUUGGUCUACACAAAAAAAUACUAACCAUUAGUGGUCAGCCCAUUGGGGUGACUGCUGCCUCCAUCUCUAAAAUAAACAAAGUCCC